GGGGCCUGCGGAGGGAUCAUUGCUGGAACGCGCCCCAGGCGCACCCAGAAACCCUUUGUGAACUUAUACCUUACUGUUGCCUCGGCGCAUGCCGGCCCCCCCGGGGGCCCCUCGGAGACGAGGAGCAGGCACGCCGGCGGCCAAGUUAACUCUUGUUUUUACACUGAAACUCUGAGAAAAAACACAAAUGAAUCAAAACUUUCAACAACGGAUCUCUUGGUUCUGGCAUCGAUGAAGAACGCAGCGAAAUGCGAUAAGUAAUGUGAAUUGCAGAAUUCAGUGAAUCAUCGAAUCUUUGAACGCACAUUGCGCCCUCUGGUAUUCCGGAGGGCAUGCCUGUUCGAGCGUCAUUUCAACCCUCAAGCAUUGCUUGGUGUUGGGGCACUGCUUUUUACCCAAAAGCAGGCCCUGAAAUCUAGUGGCGAGCUCGCCAGGACCCCGAGCGCAGUAGUUAAACCCUCGCUCUGGAAGGCCCUGGCGGUGCCCUGCCGUUAAACCCCCAACUUUUGAAAAUUUGACCUCGGAUCAGGUAGGAAUACCCGCUGAACUUAAGCAUAUCAAA
rnacentral:rRNA from 1 species